UCGAAACUAACAUAACAAGUCUAGAUAUGGGAUCAAGGUCAUGUCAUCUUGCCUGUGAUAUCCUCAGCUUGGAAUGGUUCUGGAUCGUCCUGCACGUACUCUCCUGACUCCACGUAAUCGGUCUCCGCUCCCGGUGCUACCCAACACAAGAAUGACAGCCAAUGAACAGCAGCACCACAAAAUGCAACAAUCACAUGAUGCAUGAGAUGAAAGUUGAGCAUGCACCACUAUUUCUAACACUAGCACAAGCAAGAUAAACUACAAC
rnacentral:lncRNA from 1 species